CUCAGCGCUGCUCGCCUGCACGCACGCACGCACGCUCGUCCUCUGUCCUCGCGCCCCUUUUCUUACACUUCUCUCCUCCCCGGCCUGAGGAGCCGCUCUCGGCGCGGUGCAUUGUGGGAGCCCAGGUCGAGUGCGCCGUCGCCUGAGGGAAGCGAGAAGAGGCCGUGACCGCGGAGAAAGCUCCGCAGUCGUCACCGGAGAGGAGUCGACUGCCCCAUAGUUGUCGCCGGAGAGGCCUGCCCACGCGUUCACCCGUCCCCCUGCCCGGUUUGCGAUGCAGCCUGCUUCUGCAAAGUGGUAUGAUCGAAGGGACUAUGUCUUCAUUGAAUUUUGUGUUGAAGACAGUAAGGAUGUUAAUGUAAAUUUUGAAAAAUCCAAACUUACAUUCAGUUGUCUUGGAGGAAGUGAUAAUUUUAAACAUUUAAAUGAAAUCGAUCUUUUUCACUGUAUUGAUCCAAAUGAUUCUAAGCAUAAAAGAACUGACAGAUCAAUUUUAUGUUGUUUAAGAAAAGGAGAAUCUGGCCAGUCGUGGCCAAGGUUAACAAAAGAAAGGGCAAAGCUUAAUUGGCUUAGUGUGGACUUCAAUAAUUGGAAAGACUGGGAAGAUGAUUCAGAUGAAGAUAUGUCUAAUUUUGAUCGUUUCUCUGAGGUACCAGAGGAAACCACUAUUCAGGAUUUUGGCAUUUAAUUUCUGCACUGUACACAGAUACCUUGUUAGAUAAAUUUUAGUGGCUUCACUUUUCUUCGAUGAAAACAGUCUAAACUUCCCUAUAUAUUUUCAGGAUUUUAUGUAAUUACCUCAAUCUACCUUUUCCAGAAAGGAAGAUGAUGAACAACAUGGGUGGUGACGAGGAUGUAGAUUUACCAGAAGUAGAUGGAGCAGAUGACGAUUCACAAGACAGUGACGAUGAAAAAAUGCCAGACCUGGAGUAAGGAAUGUUGUCAACGAAUUUUGAGAAAGAAAAAUAACUUCUGCAAGAUUUCGUAAUUGAGAGAACUCCCAAGUUGAUAGCUCUAAAGGCAGAUGUUGUAUUUGCCUCCUUUAACCCAUUUUUCAACCUGUUUGUUUUUUUUAACGGCUUCACUAAGGGUUGAUAUGUACCAUUGUAUGGGGCAAUUUUAAGUCAGCUAAGGCAGUAAGUAACCUUUCACAUGAACAUUUCCCAGACUUCCAUGAUGCUAUUGAGGUCCAGGCAAUUGAGAACAGCAGUUGUGAUUAAAAACAUUUCAACUCAGUCUCCUUUACUUCAUAAUAUAGAUACUGACAUGAUAGGAAGUGCCCAGAUUAAAGAAAGAUAAUUAUAUUUUAGAUCUUGGAACAUGGGCUCAAAGUGACUGAAAACAGAUCACUUGAACUGGUAACCUGUUAUUCCUCUGCUAUAUCCCUCAGGAUUAUUCCACUAAAGUUUUAUUUUUCAAAAAAUUUACUUCACAUAACUACACAAGUGAUAACUUGUCAGUGUUUCAGAUACAUCUUAGCUAAAACUAGUGAAUGUCCUAACUUAGAUGGUUUUUUGAAGCCUGUGCAUUUGGUAUUGUUUGACCCUUAAACUUUUACAUCUCUUAGCAUGGAGGACGAAGAAAAGCUGUACAUUGUUGCUUGAGAGUCUACAUUUAGACCAAAUUUGUAUUUACACUGUCAGUAUGGCAAAUGAGUGAAAAAAAUGUUAAUACACUAUUGGAUUUUUUUCUUUUUUUGAUUCAGCUGUCCCAGGGCUGAAAACCUCAAUUUAUGUUCAUGACAGUGGGGAUUUUUUUUAAUGUCUACAUUCUUUCUAAUAAACUGUUGGAAGACUU